ensembl:antisense Atcayos ataxia, cerebellar, Cayman type, opposite strand
CCCCAAGCGGCUCCUUCAACCCCUGAGAUCUUAAACAAAAUCUCUGGCUUUUCUUCUGACCUGGGAAGGAGGAACUCAGGCUGCGGUGGCCGUGUGCUGUGAACAGAAAGAACCAGUGCUGGUACACCAGGCAUGUGCUGCCACCCAGCGAGGCCAGCAGUCUACCAACUGAGCUAACUGCCAGCUGCCGCCCUUCCAAGCCCAAGCCCGGAAGAUGUGAGUAGCACGGGGCGAGAUUUCUGACCCACAACACCUCCCAUCCCAGCACUGGAGACUGAAGCAUGGAUUCUGAGGCCAGCCUGGGCUACCAAAGAAGACUGUGUUUUAAAAAGAAAAAGAAAAAAAGAAAAUUAAAAUGGACUAACCCUCAAGUGCUGAGAGAGCGGCAGGGGGCCUACUGGGCUCUGCCCACUGCUACAAUGCUUCCUCUUUGAGGUCACUAGGCUACUACCCAGUCGUUGAAGAGGAGUAUAGCUCUGACACCAUGCCAGUGGUUUAAACUGGAUACAGGAGAACUCGCAUGUAAGAUCCACUUCCAGAAGGUCCCAAGAGCACAGAGAUGGGGUGGGAAGUGAAUGGGCACCUCGAACCCUUGUCCCCAUCCAGGGGUGGGAGGGGAUUAGUGUAGGAUGGGAGCAGGGCAUCUUAGUGCAUUAUGGAAAGCUCUAAAGUGGGGGAGUCCAGUGACUGCUCUGCUGUCCACAGCCGUGGGCUAGGACAGAUAAGGUGGGGACAGGCCAGUGAGAGAAACAAGGGAGACCAGCACACAAGGGCCUCAUACCUGGUUCCUCCAGGCCUGGCAGUCCUGUGGUUGUAUCUGUGUGUGGCCAAGCCAGUGAGACUUAGGGAUAACCUGAGACCCUGGGCAUGGCUGGCAUUGUUUAUACGAAUGUGAAUUCUGGGGUCGCCCUGUUUGUGCUCUGAGCUGAGUAAGGCUCUCAACAUAAAUGAGGGAGGCAGGGCCCAGGAAUAUGGCUCAGCAGGUAAAGGUGCUUGCAGCCAGGUCUUGAUGACCCAAGUUCAAUUCCCAUUUGAUGGAAAGAGAACUGACUCCACUCAAGUGAUCUCCACAUGUGUAUGGAUGCAUUCACAACAGAUAAAUAAUAGCUAAUAAUA